ACAAAGGUGUUGUGGAAGAAAAAAAAAUUAUAUUUAAAAAGUAUAUGAGUACAUAUAAUUCAAGAGACUAAAGUGAAACUUUUGUUCAGGUGUUUUCACAAAGACGUCUCACAGCUUUUGAGCGCGGUUCAACAAUCCGUGGGUAAGGUGGAGAUAAAUACAGAAAUGUGGUCUGUUUAACGUUCCACUAGAAUGGUUUUAUUCUUUUCUAUCAUUGUAAAAGUUAAAAUCUUUUGUUCAUUCAAAAUAUUUUCAAGCAGAUUUUCAAUGCAAAACUGAAUUUCACCACAGAUCUCAUGUAUUUGUGUCUCAGAUUAACUUUUCCUGAACCGUAUAUGUGCCGUAUAUUUUUCCACAUGUGAAAAGUUGUAGUGUUUUAGUCUCCAAGCUGGUGAUCAUUUUGUUGUGAUGCUGUUUUUCUUCAGGAAACUCUAUCAAACUGUAUCAAAAACACAAGUUGAACAUCAAAGCUGAACAGUAAAACAUAGAAGGUGUUAGAGAAAAGUUUUUUUUUCUAUUGCUACUGCCUUGUUGACCAACUGUCUGUCGCAUAGAAAACCACAUAGAUACGUCUGUUAUUAUUAGCAGAGAAGCUAGCCACAAAAAACACAGCGAAAACACGCACACCAUCCCAUGUCUGCAACAUUCAGUCUUCUCUGCAAAAAUGCAAAUCCCCGUCUGCAUUAACAGUGUCUCAGCAGUGUCUGUCACCAGAAUACAAGAAAGUCAGCUGCUCUUUUGAAGAAGAUGAAGCAGAACUCAAUCUGACUUUGAACGAUUACGUACUUCUACAAUCAAACAAACACAGUCAGGUCCUCAGCAGAGACACAUCUGAAAAAUCCAGAGUGUUUAAUGUUUCUACCAUCAUACAUGGACAGCUUCUUGGAAACAACACCUGCAAAGUCUGGAACAACGUCAGCAGAGAAGAGGAGGUUUUUACCCUCACUGCUUGCACCGGUUUACAACUAGUUUACGUGGCAGCAGCAGUUGCAGUUGUUCCACUCUUGCUUUUUGUUGCAUGGAGCACCACUCUAAUUGGACUUAGUAAAAAACAAAAAGCCUCAGCAGUCAAGGAGGGUAAGUCAAUAGUAAAGUGUUCUGUAAAAAAUGGGAACGACUUUUUACAAAAGGUUUCCCUCCAAGAUGACUUAGAAAGUGAAGUUAUCUUCAUGAAAGUUAAAAUGAAACAAAACAGGAAAAAAAUGAAGCUAGGCAGAAUUUGACAAUAUAACUUUGUGCUAUGAGACUUUAUAAGCUUGUUUUAAAUUUUUUUUUACUAAGUUUUGCCACAAGAUGAAGCCAAAAUACUUUUAAUUAGUAAUUUUAUCAACCUAUUAGACAGAUAUAUGUUGUUUUCCCUUGCUUUUUUUCCUUCAUUACACUUUUUCAGGCUAUGUGGGCAUUAACAAAUCUUUGACAUUUUUUUGUUCCUUUAUCAUGUUUUUAAUUGCAUUUUUAAUCAAGAGAAUAGUCAAGAGAAUUGAGUUUGUAGAAGAAAAUGUAAUCCCAGUCAAGAUUUUAAUAAGUCUAGAGUGUUAUGACAUAGAUAAAUAUAUCUUUUUAGCAAAUUUCUGAGAAAGUACUUGCUUCAUUAUUCUACACUGUGAGAGCUUUAAAUACAAAUUGUUUGAUGUCAGUGGAAUUGAGCCUUUAGGCAGACAUAGAACAUAUAGAAGGCAGUUCCUAUCAUGACGAGUCAUAUAUAAAAUGUGAAUCACCGGACAUGCAUACAUAUUAUAACACGUUUAAAAGUUAUAUUUUUUUCUGAUAUUUUACAGUUUUUUUAUUUUUUACAUUUUUUUAAAACAAAUUUCAGAGUUUUCAAUUCUUUAUGUCGUUUGCAAUGUAUGAACUGUGGUAAAUCUGCCAUAUGAAUGAAUUUGACCUUAAAAUAACCGUAAUAAACAAAAUUAAAAUCGUUUUUGACUCAUUUAAAUGUAUACAUUUUUUUUAAAUGUGCUUAUUUCUGGUUUUAUUCAAUUUCAUUUUUUGUUCCUUUUUUUUUCUUUCUCAAGUUGAAAAUAAUAAUGUUUUAAAUCUGUCCUGCCAGCAUAAAUAAAAGUUAAAUAAAAUGAAAAAAAUAUAUAUAUUUUUUUUAAUUAAUUCUCAGAAUACUGCAGCCUACAGUGAAAAUAUUAGUUUAAAAUAUUGAUGGUGAAAUGAUAAUUUCAUUAAUUAAAUUAUAAUUUAUAAUUGAAAUUAUAAUGUUCUUUUAAGUGGACACCAAGCACUUGAAAGGAGCCCCGGUCCGACGCUGGCCGGCAGCAGUUCUGACUGGAAAAUGUACAAAUGUCUCUGGGUGUUGGCCUUCCAUAUCAAAUGCCACCAGACUCCAGGUAGCAUGGGGUACAUAAAAAGUGGGCCAUUCUGCAUGCAUGACUACCAUCAUCUAUAUUCAUGACCACAUCAACGGUUCACAAAAAAAA